AUGCAACAAGGAAGGAGUGAAGUCGAAGCUUGGUCAGAGACUUUACAAAUGACUUACAAAGGAAGCGAUAAAGUUGUAAGUAUUUUUUAAAAAUUAUUUAUAUUUUCUAAUUUCUAUUUUCAUUGUUUGAUUUUGUUAUUCUUUCAGUUUGAAGCCACGGAAUUUAUCAAAACUCCAGAAGCAAAAUCGUGGGCUGAAUCAGAAUCAAUGACUCCAAUUGUAAGUUCCAUUGAUUAUUUUAAUUAUAUUUUGUUUUUCUUAUUUUUUUUUUAUAACGCAGCAAUUUAUCGAAACGACGGUCAACAAAACUUUCGGCAAAAAUAGGAAGAAUCGAAUAAUUGGAAUCGGAGAAGCUGCAAGUAUGGUGAGUACAACAAACGAAAGAUGGGCUGCUCCAAAUUGGAAAGGAAAAGACCCCAUCUCAGAGAGCACGACUGUUGAUGCACCACCAGAUGCAGUAUGGUCGGAAAAAUUCAAAGCAUUGGAGGUAUUUACAAUAUAUUUUAAUAAUUUUGUUGAUUAUCGAACUCAUUGUUGUUUUCAUUUUCAGAACAAGUGUAACGAGAGUCAAAAAGACGUCUCGAAAUACAAGAAAAAGUUCAAUGCUAUGAAAUCCUAUAUGAAGAAAUUGAACAAGACUUUGAAGACUUCUGGACUAGACAUGACGCAGAUGGCUUCUACUUCAAAGUCAACAAUACCGUCUGCAUUCGGAUCAGAUAAUUCUGAUUCUGAUUCAGAAGACUCGCUUUCAGACGAGUGUUGAUAAACAAUCUUUUUUUUCUUAUUAAAACUUCGAAUGUUUAACGAUUCUGUAAUUUAAUUUCUUUUUAAUAAAAAACAUCGAUUUCCA
rnacentral:lncRNA from 1 species